GUGUCAGCAGCCGCGGUAAUACGUAGGUUGCGAGCGUUGUCCGGAUUUACUGGGCGUAAAGCGCGCGCAGGUGGUCCUGAAAGUCGAGCGUGAAAGCUCCCGGCCCAACUGGGAGAGGCCGUUCGAAACUUCAGGACUUGAAGGCGGGAGAGGCAAAUGGAAUUUCCGGUGUAGCGGUAAAAUGCGUAGAUACCGGAAGGAACACCAGUGGCGAAAGCGAUUUGCUGGCCCGCCCUUGACACUCAGGCGCGAAAGCUAGGGGAGCGACCGGGAUUAGAUACCCCAGUAGUCC
rnacentral:rRNA from 1 species